UUCUCUGUUGGAGUUUCCGAUCCGAAGGAGGGAAAGGCUGCAUCUUCUGUCAUUUGUCAUAUAUUCUUAACAUUUCGGAUGUUAGAACUUACUUUUCCUCUCAAAUAUUAUUAGUAUGAUUAAGGUCAAAUAGUAAACCAAAAUUGACAAACUGAUCUAUUUUAAUUGGCAGUUUAUGUGAAUUUGUACGUGAAUGAAAAGGUUCAAUUGAGAAUACACAUUGUCAUAUAUGCUACUGGUGCACCUAAUCACACCAAAUUGUUUGAAAGGCAUUCACAUGAACAAAAAUUCUGAAUUCUCUUGACCACAAAGCAAUCAGGCAUGAGAAGUAAAACGAGGAGCCGAGGAGCUCACCAUGUGUUCGAUACAGUGCCUCGCUCAGCGAGGAAAGCCUACGAGGCCAAUCAACUUGAUCAACGGUCCAACGACGACCAAACGCCUCCGAAGCUGCAUUUCAGUAGAUAUAAAUUCCAAGCGUAAAGCGAAAUUGAUGAAGAAAACAGAAUGAGUCGUUGAGCUUCGUCUUCCUCACCGGACCAAGUAAGCACAAUUUUCGCAUUUUAGAGGUGUUUGGCUACUGUGAAGGAUGAAGCUCCUCAAAUUGUUGUUGUGAUUGGAAGCUCUGGAAAUUCGAGAGAAGAAGAAUCGAGAAACGAAUAAUCGACGCGACUACAACACGUUGCGUGGUGGGGUUAAGUAGAUGAAAACGGUGUCGUUCGGCAACAUAUUUACUUACUGACUUUCAGAUAUUCUGGUCCCGACACGUACGGACGCCCCUGAUCUUUCUUCAACCAACGAAGAGGAUCGGUGAGCUCUGCAGUUUGGACUUCCAUGGCGACUAGCUGUGGGCUCUUCACCGGUCUGAGACGGUGCUCCCCACACUUCGCGAACUCAGUCGGGUGGAGGAGGCAGCUGUCGUCGCUCUGCUCUUCGUCUUCCCCAGUUGAAAGGCGCAAGGACGACGAGCUCAAGAGCAAGAUUUUUGGGCUAAAAAAUCCGGGUCGGAGCGCAACCACUGUGAUUCAGAAAUGGGUCGACCGCGGCAACAAGGUCUCUGUUCUGGAACUCCGUCGCAUUUCCAUUCAACUCUUGAAAUCUAAGCGCUUCGACCAUGCCCUCCAGGUUUCAAUUCUUCGUUUGUUUGCACAAAAUAUGCUUAAAGCUUGAAGAUUAGGAUAUUUUGUAGAGUUUUUCAAUCGAAAUUUCUUCCUUUUCA
rnacentral:lncRNA from 1 species